rnacentral:ncRNA from 1 species
GUUCUGCUAGGGCAAAACGCGUGAAAAUGCGUGACGCAAAGCUAAAGGGGCUACCAGGUGUAUUUUCUCGCCUUAUGCCAGCCAGUUGCCAUC